rnacentral:lncRNA from 1 species
AAAUUUACUUUCUCUAAGCAUAUAUUGUUUAAUUUAUAUUUUGUUUCAUCAGGAUGCAUUUAUAUGGAUGAGCUUCAAAUUGAUUAUGUCGGAUUAUAUAAGUCAAGUGGAUUUGGCCAUCACAAACCAAAGAAGGGGAAUAAAAGAACUUACUGGGUUUUUGCUUCAUCAACGCAACAUCAAGAUCAAGAGAAAAUAAUAAAGAAAAACUGAAUUGGGCUUUAGUUCAUUGGGCUGCUCACAACAUGUGGGAACUAAAAGAAGGCACACAAGGGUUGGCAAUUUUGGAGGUCGACGGUAGCCUCUUAACUGAUUGGGACGUGAUCACAAUUAGAUCUAUAGCAUGCGAAUUCUUCUUUGUUAUUAUGACCGGCUAAGUUUCUUGUAAUGGCAAUUACGUGUAGGAUUUGGGUAUGCACAUGUAUUCGGUUUGAUUUAUUAAAUUUUCUAGACAUUACCAUGUUCUUAUUAUUUUUACUAGUGAAUGAUUUGAGUAUAUUUAUGUGGCCAUGAGUUAGGGUUAAAAACGACUUUUCUUCUAUCACUUUCCAAGCAUAGUCUAUCAGUUGGUUUUCAUAAUCAUUAAUAAGCAUGAUACUUUGCUAAACUAAGGGGUUAUGUUGGUAAUUGUUUAGAUAAUUAACAUCCUAGCACAGGUCCUUAUUUAGUUUCGGAUCAUUAAGUGACUCAGCCGGGUUCCUUAGUCUUUAAAUUGCCCUUUGAUCUUAACAUUGAACCAACUAUGUCUAUGUAGUUUGUAAACAGAGUGAAUUAAGCUAGGUUAUACACAUUACUCCCAAAUUUGAACUUGAAUGUGAUAAAUUUUUUUCCUCAUCUUUUCAUUUGUCUUUAUUGUGUAAUUUCAAAUUAGGUUUAACAUAAAUUUAAUUCAAACCAAUCAAAUUGUGAUACUUACCACAUGCUCCU